UACGAACCAUAUGACUGAUGAUUUGAAGGAAAUGGGUGACUAAGCGACGUGCCGUUCAUUUUAUUUGCUUGUUAUUAUAUUUGGAUUAAGCGAUCGAGUGUUUUCUUUCAGGAUUAAUACUUGAUGAUGUGGUCGAGCUUCCAACCAUUGUUCCGGAAGUCUCAAUUAUGGGGAGUCUUAUUUUUCUUAGAGCUGCAGUAGUCAAGAUAUUAGAGUUAGCUUGUAGCAAACAAUUUAUGUUUAUUUUAUGCCAUGACAUAAUAAUGUAUUUUGGGAAAAUGAAUUAUCCAGGAAUUUAAUAUAUGGUUAAUUGGUAUUUUAUACAGAGUAGUUUGUGUGUU